GAUAUACACUACUCGCCGGCAGGGGAAGAGGCGAUCAGCGGCGAUGCGGGUCUCGCCGACCGAUGCGCCGAUGCGGCAGCGUUUCCAACCAUGGCCGCCGCCACCCGUCCGCACCUCUACUGCCCUACCCCUGUCCUGGAAGAUGUCAGGCGGCGAUUUCCUCUGCCCGUGGUGGAUCUCAAAGGGCGCCCAAAAAAUUGAUCCAACCCGCCGGGGAAAGAGAGCUACAACAAGUUCUACUCUAUCUAUAGAGGACGACCGCAUUGGUCAAAGGUGGUGGAAGACGGAACGACGGCUGGGUCAUUGCCCAGCUGCCGCCACCACUCUCUCUGUCGCCUUUCCGCCGGUGGUGAUGUUCCACGAUGCUGUGGCAGCGAGGGAACUGGGAUUCUGCAUCUCUAGAGCAAUCUCCUUACCUUACUCUGUUGUUUGUUUUCUCAGGAUACAGAUGGCAUCCCAUGUAUUAUUAGAGCUGGUUGACCAUCCAUUUGGCAAAUGUCGUGUGCAUGAUGCUGAUAUAUCAAGGCUCUCAUUUGCUGUGAAAUUACCACUGAAGAAUUCCGUGGGAUGUUUCUUUAUCUCUCAUUCCAUUCCUAAUUGCUUCAAUCUUUUCUAAGUUGUAACACUGACAUUUCUCCUUGAAAUAUUUGUCCUACCUGGUGGUUAACAGAGUAAAGUUAUCUCAUUUUCAUGUAUCAAAGUUAGCAUGAUACGUCCGGCUCAUGCCGCUCAAGAACUGCUGCUGAGUUGGAAAAUAUCCUGAAGAAAAUGCAUAUGUUCCAUCAUUUUGGCAUCUUGGGGUUCUUGCUCAUCAGGUACAAGAGGUUGGUUUGUUACCAUACAAUUAGCUAUUAAUGUUAAUAAUCUUUACUGUAUUUAGACUUAUUGUUAAUCAGUCUAGAAGAUUAUUUGUGUUAAUAUCUACUCAGAGUUUCAAUCUAAAACAAGGCGUUUACUGUAUACCACAAUCCUCUCUAUUGUUGUUUAUGUAAAUUUCUGAAUUUUAUCUGAAGUUCAGUCAUCAGAUGUGGCAGAAUUCUUUUGCAAUGAUUACUUUUUUUGUUGAUGAGGUUUCAUGGUAUUUGUAGGAGAUUAAAGUACGUUAGUAGGGAUUGAAGUUAAAAUAGUAAAUCGUCAAAUAUAUGCCGCUGAUAAGUAAAAAAUUGAUCGCCAGAUGUUCGUAGUAGCUGCACAAUCAUCCCGAUAUUUCAGGCUUUGAAUUCUGAGAUAUUCCAAACCAUCUUUAUUGGUGCAAUUUUCUAAGGUUGCUUCAUGCCCAGUUGAUAAAUCAAGCAAAUUCAACUCAUUUACUUCAUGAGAUAUUGGAUAUAUAGCAAUGUUGCGUUUGUAAUGGCAAGAUUGUGUGACUUUUAUUUGUUAUGUAUUGGAACUUUUGGAACUCCUUAAUAUGGGAUGUCGUAAAGGUAAUUCAUACAUCAACGGAUGAUCCAUCCUUUUCACCAUCUUGGCUUAUGUAUUAUGAC